rnacentral:tRNA from 3 species
GGGUGGCUAGCUCAGUGGUAGAGCGCCUCGUUUACACCGAGGAUGUCGGGGGUUCGAAACCCUCGCCGCCCA